UAGGGAAUCUUCCACAAUGGACGAAAGUCUGAUGGAGCAACGCCGCGUGAGUGAUGAAGGGUUUCGGCUCGUAAAACUCUGUUGUUGGAGAAGAACGGGUGUCAGAGUAACUGUUGACAUCGUGACGGUAUCCAACCAGAAAGCCACGGCUAACUACGUGCCAGCAGCCGCGGUAAUACGUAGGUGGCAAGCGUUGUCCGGAUUUAUUGGGCGUAAAGCGAGCGCAGGCGGUUUUUUAGGUCUGAUGUGAAAGCCUUCGGCUUAACCGGAGAAGUGCAUCGGAAACCGGGAGACUUGAGUGCAGAAGAGGACAGUGGAACUCCAUGUGUAGCGGUGAAAUGCGUAGAUAUAUGGAAGAACACCAGUGGCGAAGGCGGCUGUCUGGUCUGCAACUGACGCUGAGGCUCGAAAGCAUGGGUAGCGAACAGGAUUAGAUACCCUGGUAGUCCAUGCCGUAAACGAUGAGUGCUAAGUGUUGGAGGGUUUUCCGCCCUUCAGUGCUGCAGCUAACGCAUUAAGCACUCCGCCUGGGGGAGUACGACCGCAAGGUUGAA
rnacentral:rRNA from 1 species